UCAUUUUCGUUGGGUUGUUCCUUUAUAACAACAUUUCAUUUCCUUUAUAUAACAACGAAUUUACAGGUGGAGUUCACUGGAUCACAAUCACAUGAUCCCUUGACAAAUCACCAUUGCAUUAUUCAGCGGCCUGCACAACUUUGCGGGCCACCAGGCAGGACAACAAACCACAUCAAUACUCCUACUAUACGCAUACGCUUGCAAUGUACUGCCUCUAUACCAAAAUAUAAGACGUUUUUGCAGUUCAGUUCAAAUUUGAACUGCAAAAACGUCUUAUAUUUUGGUGCGGAGAGAGUACUUACUCUACUACACUAAACCUACACCAAGAAAGUCGACUGAUUUUUCUGUACUCUCGUAUGUACCAUUGAUGCAUUCGCCCCACACAUCAAAGAACCCAAAGAAAAGAAUGUAAACCUGCU
rnacentral:lncRNA from 1 species